rnacentral:rRNA from 1 species
GUACGUAGGGUGCAAGCGUUGUCCGGAAUUACUGGGCGUAAAGAGCUCGUAGGCGGUUUGUCGCGUCGUCUGUGAAAUCCCGCAGCUCAACUGCGGGCUUGCAGGCGAUACGGGCAGACUUGAGUACUGCAGGGGAGACUGGAAUUCCUGGUGUAGCGGUGAAAUGCGCAGAUAUCAGGAGGAACACCGGUGGCGAAGGCGGGUCUCUGGGCCGAUACUGACGCUGAGGAGCGAAAGCGUGGGGGAGCGAACAGG